ensembl:lncRNA
GGAUCUUGCGAUCCAUCGAUAAUUUCUUUGUCGCGUUUCCCGAAACUCCUCUUAACGUGAACGCGCAUUCGCUGCACUCACGACGUCGUAGGAUUGUAACUGUCUACUGACACGGUGCUGAAAUGGGCUCCGUAGGAGGGGGAGACGCAGGAAUGUCGCAGGAAAAUUGUGUUAAAAAGGGGUUAAAAUAUAUCCCCAUCAAGGACAACAGCAGAGUAGCCUACGAAAAAAAUAGACUGCAAUUAUAUGAAUGCUAAAGACAUUAAAACACAAUUGAUUAGGCUUAAACCGACAUAUAUCAGUCCUAAUCCUGAAUGCACUGUGCGUUUCACGGCAUUUUCCCCCCUUAAAUAAUUCCUCUUCACACCUGUGAAUAACCCGGGAGAGGUCCAUGAUGAGGAUUACAACGAAGCCCACCGUCUGGCCCGGUGCAUCGUUGAGCGCACGAUCGGGAGGUGGAAGUUGCGCUUUAGAUGCCUUCACAAGUCAGGCGGAGGGCUCCAGUUUUCGCCGGCCAAGUCAUGCGCCGUGAUAUGUGUGACGGCUAUGUUGCACAACAUUGCAGCUAAGGCUGGGGUGGCAUUGCUUGAACCGGAGGACGCUGAGGACGAUGACGACGAGGAAGAUCGGUGUGAGGACGGCCUCCCUCAUAACUACGCGGCUGGUUUUCAUGCGCGUCGAAGAGUGAUUGAGACUUUUUUUUAACCCCCUCCACCCUCCCACAUGUCACUAAACAUUCCCGUCA